rnacentral:misc_RNA from 1 species
AAAGUCGUAACAAGGUUUCCGUAGGUGAACCUGCGGAAGGAUCAUUACUGAAGUGAUUUGGGGAUGUUUGCUGGUCUCUCUCUCAAGAGGGGCAAUGUGCACUCUCCAUAACAAUUCAUGAUUUCCAUCACACCCCUUGUGCACAUCCUGUAGGGCAAAUGCACCCCUAUGGGGGCUGCUGUCCUAUGUAUUCUCUCAUCUCACACAUUUUGAAUGGUGCUCUUGGAUGCAUCUUUGUGGAUUAUUUGUAAAAGUAAUCAUAAAUAACAACUUUCAACAAUGGAUCUCUUGGCUCUC